rnacentral:rRNA from 1 species
UGGGGAAUAUUGGACAAUGGGCGCAAGCCUGAUCCAGCCAUGCCGCGUGAGUGAUGAAGGCCCUAGGGUUGUAAAGCUCUUUCACCGGUGAAGAUAAUGACGGUAACCGGAGAAGAAGCCCCGGCUAACUUCGUGCCAGCAGCCGCGGUAAUACGAAGGGGGCUAGCGUUGUUCGGAUUUACUGGGCGUAAAGCGCACGUAGGCGGACUUUUAAGUCAGGGGUGAAAUCCCGGGGCUCAACCCCGGAACUGCCUUUGAUACUGGAAGUCUUGAGUAUGGUAGAGGUGAGUGGAAUUCCGAGUGUAGAGGUGAAAUUCGUAGAUAUUCGGAGGAACACCAGUGGCGAAGGCGGCUCACUGGACGAUUACUGACGCUGAGGUGCGAAAGCGUGAGGAGCAAACAGG